GACGAACGCUGGCGGCGUGCCUAAUACAUGCAAGUCGAACGCUUCUUUUUCCACCGGAGCUUGCUCCACCGGAAGAAGAGGAGUGGCGAACGGGUGAGUAACACGUGGGUAACCUGCCCAUCAGAGGGGGAUAACACUUGGAAACAGGUGCUAAUACCGCAUAACAAUCCAUCUCGCAUGAGAAGGAUUUGAAAGGCGCUUUUGCGUCACUGAUGGAUGGACCCGCGGUGCAUUAGCUAGUUGGUGAGGUAACGGCUCACCAAGGCCACGAUGCAUAGCCGACCUGAGAGGGUGAUCGGCCACACUGGGACUGAGACACGGCCCAGACUCCUACGGGAGGCAGCAGUAGGGAAUCUUCGGCAAUGGACGAAAGUCUGACCGAGCAACGCCGCGUGAGUGAAGAAGGUUUUCGGAUCGUAAAACUCUGUUGUUAGAGAAGAACAAGGAUGAGAGUAGAACGUUCAUCCCUUGACGGUAUCUAACCAGAAAGCCACGGCUAACUACGUGCCAGCAGCCGCCGUAAAA
rnacentral:rRNA from 1 species